rnacentral:rRNA from 1 species
AGCGAACGCUGGCGGCAGGCUUAACACAUGCAAGUCGAGCGGGCGUAGCAAUACGUCAGCGGCAGACGGGUGAGUAACGCGUGGGAACGUACCUUUUGGUUCGGAACAACACAGGGAAACUUGUGCUAAUACCGGAUAAGCCCUUACGGGGAAAGAUUUAUCGCCGAAAGAUCGGCCCGCGUCUGAUUAGCUAGUUGGUGUGGUAACGGCGCACCAAGGCGACGAUCAGUAGCUGGUCUGAGAGGAUGAUCAGCCACAUUGGGACUGAGACACGGCCCAAACUCCUACGGGAGGCAGCAGUGGGGAAUAUUGGACAAUGGGCGCAAGCCUGAUCCAGCCAUGCCGCGUGAGUGAUGAAGGCCCUAGGGUUGUAAAGCUCUUUUGUGCGGGAAGAUAAUGACGGUACCGCAAGAAUAAGCCCCGCUAACUUCGUGCCA